AGCAGCAUGCCCUAGUGGGUAGAGGAUGGGCCUGGGAGUCAGAAAGAUCUGGGUUCUAAUCCCAGUUCUGCCA
rnacentral:tRNA from 1 species